rnacentral:rRNA from 1 species
CGCACGGGUGAGUAAUGCAUAGGUAACGUGCCCCUUAGUCUGGGAUAGCCACUGGAAACGGUGAUUAAUACCGGAUACUCCUUCUCUAUUAAUUAGAGUUGGGAAAGUUUUUCGCUAAGGGAUCGGCCUAUGUUGUAUCAGGUAGUUGGUGGGGUAAUGGCUCACCAAGCCUAUGACACAUAGCGGGUCUGAGAGGAUGAUCCGCCACACUGGUACUGAGACACGGACCAG